rnacentral:rRNA from 1 species
GCAUAUCAAUAAGCGGAGGAAAAGAAACCAACAGGGAUUGCCCUAGUAACGGCGAGUGAAGCGGCAACAGCUCAAAUUUGAAAUCUGGCUCUCGGGCCCGAGUUGUAAUUUGUAGAGGAUGCUUUUGAUGCGGUGCCUUCCGAGUUCCCUGGAACGGGACGCCAUAGAGGGUGAGAGCCCCGUCUGGUUGGAUGCCAAAUCUCUGUAAAGCUCCUUCGACGAGUCGAGUAGUUUGGGAAUGCUGCUCUAAAUGGGAGGUAUAUGUCUUCUAAAGCUAAAUACCGGCCAGAGACCGAUAGCGCACAAGUAGAGUGAUCGAAAGAUGAAAAGCACUUUGAAAAGAGAGUUAAAAAGUACGUGAAAUUGUUGAAAGGGAAGCGUUUAUGACCAGACUUGGGCUUGGUUAAUCAUCUGGGGUUCUCCCCAGUGCACUUUUCCAGUCCAGGCCAGCAUCAGUUUUCGCCGGGGGAUAAAGGCUUCGGGAAUGUGGCUCUCUCCGGGGAGUGUUAUAGCCCGUUGCGUAAUACCCUGGCGGGGACUGAGGUUCGCGCAUCUGCAAGGAUGCUGGCGUAAUGGUCAUCAACGACCCGUCUUGAAACACGGACCAAGGAGUCGUCUUCGUAUGCGAGUGUUCGGGUGUCAAACCCCUACGCGUAAUGAAAGUGAACGCAGGUGAGAGCUUCGGCGCAUCAUCGACCGAUCCUGAUGUUCUCGGAUGGAUUUGAGUAAGAGCAUACGGGGCCGGACCCGAAAGAAGGUGAACUAUGCCUGUGUAGGGUGAAGCCAGAGGAAACUCUGGUGGAGGCUCGCAGCGGUUCUGACGUGCAAAUCGAUCGUCAAACAUGGGCAUGGGGGCGAAAGACUAAUCGAACCUUCUAGUAGCUGGUUUCCGCC